rnacentral:rRNA from 1 species
GACGAACGCUGGCGGCGUGCUUAACACAUGCAAGUCGAACGGAAAGGCCUGCUUUCCCUUGUGGAUUGCGGGUACUCGAGUGGCGAACGGGUGAGUAACACGUGAGUGAUCUGCCCCCAACUUGGGUAUAAGCCGGGGAAACUGGGUCUAAUUCCCGAUAGGACUGCAGGGUGGUGCCUGUGGUGGAAAACGAUUUUCUAGUGGUUGGGGAUGAGCUCGCGGCCUAUCAGCUUGUUGGUGGGGUAAUGGCCUACCAAGGCGGCGACGGGUAGCCGGCCUGUGAUGGUGGACGGCCGCAUUGGGACUGGGACACGGCCCAGACUCCUACGGGAGGCAGCAGUGGGGAAUAUUGCACAAUGGGCGGAAGCCUGAUGCAGCGACGCCGCGUGGGGGAUGACGGCCUUCGGGUUGUAAACUCCUUUCGACCGCGAGGAAGCCACCUGGUUGGAAGGGUGGUGACGGUAGUGGUAGAAGAAGCACCGGCUAACUACGUG